rnacentral:rRNA from 1 species
CCUACGGGAGGCAGCAGUGAGGAAUACUGGUCAAUGGACGAGAGUCUGAACCAGCCAAGUAGCGUGAAGGAUGACUGCCCUAUGGGUUGUAAACUUCUUUUAUAAAGGAAUAAAACGAGGCACGUGUGCCUUUUUGCAUGUACUUUAUGAAUAAGGAUCGGCGAAUUCCGUGCCAGCAGCCGCGGUAAUACGGAGGAUCCGAGCGUUAUCCGGAUUUAUUGGGUGUAAAGGGAGCGUAGAUGGGUUGUUAAGUCAGUUGUGAAAGUUUGCGGCUCAACCGUAAAAUUGCAAUUGAUACUGGCAGUCUUGAGUGCAGUUGAGGUAAGCGGAAUUCGUGGUGUAGCGGUGAAAUGCUUAGAUAUCACGAAGAACCCCAAUUGCGAAGGCAGCUUGCUAAACUGUGACUGACAUUGAUGCUCGAAAGUGUGGGUAUCAAACAGGAUUAGAUACCCUGGUAGUC